rnacentral:tRNA from 1 species
GCUAUAGCUCAGCUGGAUAGAGCAACCGCCUCCUAAGCGGUAGGCCGGAGGUUCAAAUCCUCUUAGC